AGCUUUAUACAAUAAAGUUAUGUCUUUAUUCAUACCUAAAGUAAGCAUUAAGGGAUUCUUAAACUUUCCAUUUAUCCACAUUAGUAACAAUAUAAUGAGGUAAACAAAGCUUUAUACAAUAAAGUUAUGUCUUUAUUCAUACCUAAAGUAAGCAUUAAGGGAUUCUUAAACUUUCCAUUUAUCCACAUUAGUAACAAUAUAAUGAGGUAAACAAAGCUUUAUAC